UACGGGGGGAGCAAACGUUGUUCGGAUUUACUGGGCGUAAAGGGCGCGUAGGCGGCGUGUUAAGUCAGCUGUGAAAUCUCCAAGCUUAACUUGGAACGGUCAGCUGAUACUGAUGUGCUAGAGUGCAGAAGGGGCAAUCGGAAUUCUUGGUGUAGCGGUGAAAUGCGUAGAUAUCAAGAGGAACACCUGAGGUGAAGACGGGUUGCUGGGCUGACACUGACGCUGAGGCGCGAAAGCUAGGGUAGCAAACGGG
rnacentral:rRNA from 1 species